UACGUAGGGUGCAAGCGUUAAUCGGAAUUACUGGGCGUAAAGCGUGCGCAGGCGGUUUUGUAAGUCUGUCGUGAAAUCCCCGGGCUCAACCUGGGAAUUGCGAUGGAGACUGCAAGGCUAGAAUCUGGCAGAGGGGGGUAGAAUUCCACGCGUAGCAGUGAAAUGCGUAGAUAUGCGGAGGAACACCGAUGGCGAAGGCAAUCCCCUGGACCUGUACUGACGCUCAUGCACGAAAGCGUGGGGAGCAAACAGG
rnacentral:rRNA from 1 species